GUCGUGCUUAAAGACAGCUCGGCGAUUUGACGGGCGCAUUCUUCGGGGCCGAUCUUGAGUCUGAGGCAGUGUUUAUUGGAGAAGUACUGGGAAGCUUUGGCGACGAUGAGAGCGUCUUUGGCGAGGCUGAGGGCGCCCGUCUCGGGGAAG